GGGCUGGUAGAUCAGUCUGGUAGAUCGCCACCUUCGCAAGGUGGAGGCCACGGGUUCAAAUCCCGUCCAGUCCA
rnacentral:tRNA from 2 species